UCCUGGAGGUUUCCUGGGCUGGCUAGAUC
rnacentral:sRNA from 1 species